GUCACUCCACAGCUUCCCCCUUUGGUCAAAGCAAAUGAAGCCGUCAGGCAGCAGCUGCUCAUUUACUUUCCUGCCGCGAGUGCCCUGACCCAUGAUAGGAUCCUCAGAUGCAGAGUGGAACGCAUUCCAAGUUCAGUAACAGGCUGUGCAAGGUCACGUUCUGGUCUUCUCUGGUUAUUUGUUUUUCCCUGUUGUCCUUGAUCUUCACUUCCGUUUCUCUUCCACCCCCUCCCUCAUUUCCCACUCCCCCCAGCUGCCAGUCACUGACUCACACAUGACAGUCUCCAAUGAAAGGACAAGUACCCUUGGACACUUGCUCUUAUGACUUCUGCAAGGGCUCCCGGGGCACACACCCAGCAUGGGGACUGCUGGGUGUAAGGGCAUAAACCUUCUCUCUGGAAACUUUUAGAAUCAUCAUUUUUGUUUUUGGUUUCCUGAAACACAUUUAUCUUCUUUACCUUCUGAGCCCAUGACAUGACAGCUAAGGAAUAAAAACUGGCAUAACUUUUAACAAUGAAGAGAAUUUGAAGAGGGUCUUCAGAGGAUAAGCAAUUGUGUGAUGUGCGGAUGAAAGACCAUAGGAAUGUUACUGAAUGAAUUUGGGUCCAUUCAUCUGAUGUGCAGCAGAGCCAACCUACUGACACAGGGUCGUGGUGAAGGAGAGAAGAGCUUUUAUUACAGGGCACCAAGCGAGGAGAAUGGGCAGCUCAUGCUCAAAAGACAUGUGAACUCCCCAAAUGCCUUUCAUGGAAGCGUUUUAAAGGCAAUAUUGGGGAACUAAGACCCCCAGCCAGGUGGAGGCUGAUAACUUCAAGCUGAGCACAAGAUUCAUGGAACACCACCCCAACCAACCAGUCGGAAGCGAGUCGCACACCUCUCAGCCUUCACCCCAGAUUUUGCCUUUAGAAACUCUCCCCCUGAAAACCACUGUGGAGGCUCGGUUUUUUGAGCACGAGCUGCCCGUUCUCCUUGCUUGGCCCUUGGAAUAAACCUUUCUUUGCUCCAAACUCCACCAAUUUGGUUGGUUGGUUUGGCCUCACUGUGCGUCAGACAACACUGGGUGUUGUGUUCGAAAAUAGGAUGGUUCCUGUCUAAAGAAACUGGACAACCUGUUCUGCAUGUGGGAGCUCAUGCCACUUCUGGAUUCCGUUUCUGCUCACCCUGAAAUGGAGCCCAGUAGCCAACAAUGUCAUGCUGAGUUCACAGCUUUAAUAGCCCCACCAGUGACUAUUAUGACACACGAAAAAGAAACAUUGUGAAAUAGGAAAAUAAUUCCAUAGGAAAAUAAAUAAUUCAGGGUAAAUAAGGAGCUUGACAGAAACUAAUUUAUAUCCUUAGAGACAUAUAGGAAAAUACUACAUCAAUUAAACAAGAAGAUGCUAUGAAAAUGCUAAUUGAGAAGUUGGAAGGUAAAAUAGAGAAAAAAUAAAAGAAAAAGUAUAAAAUAAUCAACAACAAGAAUAAAAACCAUUUAGAAUAACCUAGGGGAUCAACAUCCAGCUACCAGGAAAUUUAAAAGAAGGAAUUACAAAGAAAUAGCACAAGAGGAUUUCCCAGAGUUGAAGGAUACAGAAGUUAAGAAAGAAGUGUUUACCUACUCCCCACUAUAAUGAAUGAAAGACAGAAAAUGCAACAUUUAAAAAUUCAGAGCACUAAUAAUAAAAAAGAGACCUUAAAUGUUUCCAGAGAGAAUGAGAAAUGAAGAAAAAAUAAUGACAACCUGCAAAUAAAUGGGCACCAAAGACUUGAAAGAGCCACACGAGAUGCUGGACUGCAAAAAAAAUGCUUCAAAUUACGGAGGAAAACUGCUUUUAACUAGAAUUCUAAGUCAGGCAAAGCUAAUUGUGAAUUUUGAAGGCAGAAGAAGAGAGAUUUUUUUCAGACAGAUGAAGUGUUGAACAGGCUUCAACUCCACACAUCUUUUGCAGGAAGUCAUUUGAGGACACACUCCUGCAAAAUGAGGGAGUCAGGCAAGCCAGAAAGAGAUGUAGGAUUCUGGAAGCCAUACCUGCAACCUCGGACAGGAGUGAGGGGACACGCAAAUGACAGUUUUGCUGUGGGUCUAAUGAGUGAUCAGUACAGAUUUUCCAGCUGAAGGAAACACUGAUUUGUAUCCUCUGCCAUUUAUGAAGACAUCACCCGCACAGAAAGGUUAAGUCAGCUGAAGUUAGUGGUCUGGACUCAAUUAGUCUGACUUCAGAGCCUAAACUAAACUUUUACUUUUUAUCUUGCAUUGCUUCUUCUUGUAACUUAAAGUGAUAAAUGGUUUCCACCAGGAAAAUAAAAAUUUUGGUAUGUUUCAUGCGUGCUAAAUACAAUUUAUUAGAGUCAGAAUGUGAGAAA